rfam:Felis catus isolate Cinnamon breed Abyssinian chromosome D2, whole genome shotgun sequence.
GCCUGGGUGGCUCAGUCGGUUGAGAGUCCGACUUCGGCUCAGGUCAUGAUCCCAUGGUUUGUGGGUUCGAACCCCACAUCGGGCU